rnacentral:rRNA from 1 species
UACGUAGGGUGCAAGCGUUGUCCGGAUUUAUUGGGCGUAAAGAGCUCGUAGGCGGUCUGUCGCGUCGGAUGUGAAAACCCAGGGCUCAACCCUGGGCCUGCAUUCGAUACGGGCAAACUAGAGUAUGGCAGGGGAGACUGGAAUUCCUGGUGUAGCGGUGAAAUGCGCAGAUAUCAGGAGGAACACCGGUGGCGAAGGCGGGUCUCUGGGCAAAAACUGACGCUGAGGAGCGAAAGCGUGGGGAGCGAACAGG